UUAUAUUAAAAAUAAAUGUUUAAAAUUAAAAAAAAAAAUCCUUUAAAGAACAUGUGUGUCUUUUCAUAUGACUAAUAAAUGAUUAAAGAGACACACAUGUUCUUUACAUAUACUUUUUAGUAUAAUCCAUUUAUGUUAAAACUAAAGGCUGAUAAUUUUUCUUACAAAUCUCAUAUAAAUAUAACAUUCUCAUUAGAUAAGCCACAUAAUGUGAAUCUUAUUUUUAUAUGGGAAUGAUAAGAUUAAUUAUUAGCCUUUAGAUUUAAAAUAAAUGUUUAAAAUUAAAUAAAAAUCAUUUAAAGAACAUGUGUGUCUUUUCAUAUGACAAAUAAAUGAUUAAAGAGACGCACAUGUUCUUUAUAUAUACUUUUUAAUAUCAUCCAUUUAUUUUUAAACUAA
rnacentral:lncRNA from 1 species